rnacentral:lncRNA from 1 species
CUGAACCCAAACGCAAGCCAGAGAGCCUGGAAGCCUGUUGAGAGGCCGACACCACAGGAGGUCUGCAGGAUUGCAUGUAAAACUUCUGAAAGAAGACUCCAGAUUUUUGUAGAUGGUUUCUAUCUUUGGGAUCCCCCAGAAGCAGACCCUAAAAUAAAGAUUUGGAUGGAGGGUAUUCAUUUCAGAGGUGAUUCCAGGAGACAUGGUGAGGGAGUAGGCAAAUGAGACAGAGAAAACAAAACCCCGGAAAGUUUGCAUUAAUGAGCAGGUUCCUGCUGUGGGCACCUGGGGUCUAAUCCCACUGUGGGUCCUCUGAGAAACUUCGGAGAACAUCCCUCAGAAUUGUGCCACCGGGAGACGAGGAAGUUAGGGUAUUUAUCUACAAACUUCUGCCCUCUUUGGUUGAAGGUGGAUCCCAGGUGUCAACUCCCUUGCACCUCCAGCCAGCCCUGUGCACAAGAAAAGGCCCUCAGACAGAAGCAGGAGACCUUCAGCAGUGGAGGGAAUUGUCGUCAGCUGAGUUCCAUGUUGGGCACCGUCAACGUUACUUAUUGUCUUCUUUCCGAGAGGCGUGAACAGAGAUCCUUUUCUAAUGUGCAGUUUAAAGAUAUGUAACACGUUAAUCUUUGGAAGCUUUGAAAAUUAAAUGUGUUUUUCCCACUCUCUUCUCCCACUGCUUCUCACGGUUAACUUAAUCUGGAGGAAGAUCCGCUCAUGGAAUCCUGAGCUGCUGUCACCAUGCACGGGUUUGUAGUCCUCUCCACAGGAAGCACUUGGCCCCUCAUGCCCUGAAUUUCCAGUUCUUCAUCGACAGACUGCAGCAGGAUGGCAUCGACAGAAAAAUUGGGCUCACAGGCCCACAGAAGAUCCACUCUUUCUCCCAAU